ACCUUUCUGGGUACCAGAGCAUUUCAGCCCUGCUGUUGAAAAAAAUACAAGCCCAAGAGGCAAUUCAUUAGAUGGCUGUGUUCAUCUAGUCUGUACUUUAUUAUACCCACAUUGAAGAAGGCAGAGCAGCCAUCAGGGUGACCAAGAAGAAUUUCCAGGACAGAGAGAAGGCUUUUCCAACCUGCACAACAUGUUCACACCAAUGUUUUCACAGGUAAAGUUCUGUGGGGGAGGUGUGACAGGUAGCAGUACAUACACAUGUUGAGAAAUGAAACAACUGAGGGACUUCGGGGUUUUGUUAAGAGCCAACAUUGGCUUAAGCCCUGACUUUCUGCUUGGUGUUAGUUGGGGCUGAGUUCUAAGUCUGGCUUUUUUGGAAAGAAUGUGAGGGUGUUGUUUCUACAGCUGUGUGUGUAUGGGUACCCAUGGAAGCCAGAAGUGGGCUUUGCAUCCCCUGGAGCUGGAGUUAGAAGUGCCAUAAGCCACAGAAUGUGGGUAAUGGGAUCUGAGUUCUUGUCCUCUUAAGUGCUCUUAACCACCAAGCCCCAGUAAGUCGGGCUUUUUAGUUGCAGGAAAUAAACACUGUAAAAACCUUCUUGUUACACAUGCAGACCCUUUCUUGAAUUUCCCCUUUCUCGUAUUAGAUUGGUUCUUCAUCUACCUCCCUUGGUAUUAAGCAUUUGAACUAGAAAUUUCACUAGACACUUGUCUUUUGGAGGCAGAUCUCUUACCAGUCCAACUUUUAGGGUUAUCUAGAGUCCUGGGAAAAACCCAAAUAUACUUCAGUGCUCCUGUCCAUGUGAGUGUGAAGAUGUGUACAUUUUCAACCUAUCCAGGAGAAUCUCAGAGCUUGUCCACACUAAUUCUUCCCAGGGGUUUGAGCUAUGGGUAAGUAAUGGGGUUCUCACUGCUGCUCUGGGCGGGAUGCUGGUCUCUAGUUUCACUGGCUGUGUCACAACUAUACAGAGACCUCCAAAGCACACCCAACUCUCCUUCCUCCAACUCAAGACCUCCCAUUAGCUGUCACUCUCCCUACAAGCCAUGACGUCAUAAUAGGGUCAGAAUGAUGCCUACUGAGAAUACAGAGCCGACAAGAGCAGCCUUUUGGGAUUGCCUUCUCUGUGACUGCUUGGGUAUCACUGGCCCAAAGAGAGUGGCUAAGCUAAAACUAUUUGCCCAUGAUGUAAACCCGCCCCCUCCCCCUGAGCCUUUAGUGGCUGGUGGGAGGAACAGCUGUUUUUUGACUUGCUAAUACCAGGAACUCCACUUUGCCAGAAAAUGGGGUUUCUUGAUGAAUAGUUCCAGAUUUUGCCAGUUGGGAGUGAACACGUAGUUGGCCACCGGCUGGAGCACCAGCGACCGAGAGGAGACCAGAUGAGUUUUCAGAGCAGUGCUCAGACACCCAGGACGCAUGUCAUCCUUUGCCUCCUGCUUUCUGCAAUGUUGCUGCUCACCUUCAUCUUCCUAUUAACCCUCGCCAUAAUAAUCCCCUCCUGACCGCCGCCACCCUUUCUCCAUUUGUCACCCACUCAGCUCUUUCUCUGAGGUGUCACUCCCAUGGGGCAUGGCUUUGUCUCUGGCGAGCUCCCCUUUGAAUCAUAUCCAGAUGGCUACCAUUAUUUUCCCUUUCUUCUGUCUCCUCCUCACACCAGACUCAGCUAACACUCAGUCCCUUGAUCAGGAAAACCCAAGAAAAACCUCCCUCUUCCAAAAUGAAGUCACAGAUGCUCUGCUGGAGCCAUCACACUCAGGGAAGAGACCCCCCCCAAGCAUAGCUGAGUGUGAUGUCAUUGAAACCGGAUGGAAAGACCAGAAAUCCUUUAAUCCCAGUGAGACCUAGUGAAGGAGCUUUACUCAUGACUGUUGAGACUGAUUAAGGAUAUGGGGGCAGGGAGGAGGAGAGGGAGAAAGAUGUUCUGAAUUGGAUUGCCCUUUAAUACAGAAUGGAAUCCCCUAGAUUUUUUUUCCUCCAAUUAAAUGUGCAUUUCAUUCUA